ACUUUAUAUUGAACGUUAUACUGAACGUUAUACUGAACGUUAUACUUUAUAUUGAACGUUAUACAUGAAUAAAAAAGCAUGAGAUAAUCGAUACCGAUACAAUGAAAUCAUGUCGGUAUCAAUGUAUACUCUGAAAUAUCUCGAUAGCUUGAUUUCACGAUAAGAUGCUAUUUCAUUAUUUUCCUCGAAGCUAUAGGUGCAUGUGUACACGUGUAUGUAUGUGAGAAACAUUGAAACCUGCUUUACGUAUAUUAACUGGGAGAUAUUUUUUAUCAAAAAGAUAAAAUACCAGCACUAAUAAAGUCCAUAUGUGGAUCAUUAAUUGCAUCAAUAAUAUAUCUAAUCUUUGUAAUCACCGCUAAACUCCUUACUCGAAAACCAAAUGGUACAAUCACUACUUGUCAAUUACAAUUGAGGCAGACUUAAAGAAUCCAGAAAAGUUCAUUCAUCACUCAGAGGCAGUUUUAAUAAAAUGAUUAAUAACAACGUCUGCCUUCACACCUGUGAAGUAAAUCAGCAGCAAGUAAAAAACUGUACAAUGUACCGAAAUAAAAAAAGUUAUGAAAAUUUCUUUUUUUUCCUUCUUAAAAGAUAUUAUUUUUCAGAGAACACAAUUUUGAUGAUUUUAAUCUUCAAUGUAUAUUGUGUGAGAGUACUGAUUCAUCUCAAUUUCACGAUAUAAAUAUAACUAAUGUAAUAUCGUGUCACUCGCACAAUAUCACAUACCAGUAUUUUGUAAUUUCCUGGAAUCCAAGGCGAGUCUAUUUUAUAUGUUCGGAAAGGUGAUAAAGCAACUUGUUAGUUUGACCUCAGUUUCUGAUAUUCGUCUAUGACAUUCUUUUUUUUUUCUGCAGCUACAUUUGAGAGAUAAUAUAACGCUGAGGAAGCACAAGCGUGACGAAUGUACGGAGUUAACGGUCAUGCUAAAUAAGCGAACGGAUGUGAAAGCGAAUUUUUAUUUUAGCAGUAAUAUUUUGUACGGAUGAUUGCGCGAUUGAGAAUAAUUGCAAUAUGCACGUUGUGCGUGAUGUACUUACGUAGCACGCAGCUU